GAAAAAUAGGAAGAUCGAAUUAUCGAAAGAAAAUGAGAGCGAAAUCGAAGUUGUGGCUCGAAAACUACGAGACUUACCUUGAAAAUCGCUACGAGAAUGAUCUCAGCGUCAAUCUUCUUAAUCAGAUCAUUUAUAUGCACGGAUUUACGAAACUACACCAUUAUCCCAAGG